rnacentral:rRNA from 1 species
AUUGAACGCUGGCGGCAGGCCUAACACAUGCAAGUCGAACGAGUGGCGGACGGGUUAGUACUUUCUGGGAAUCUCCCUGAGGGAGGGGGAUAACUGCUGGAACCGGUAGCUAAUCCCGCAUACCAUCGGAUGUGCCCAGAUGGGAGUAGCUAGUGGGUGGGGUAAAGGCUCACCUAGGCCACGAUCCCUAGCUGGUCCGAGAGGAUGAGCAGCCACACUGGAACGGAGACACGGUCCAGACUCCUACGGGAGGCAGCAGUGGGGAAUAUUGCACAAUGGGCGCAAGCCUGAUGCAGCCAUGCCGCGUGUAUGAAGAAGGCCUUCGGGUUGUAAAGUACUUUCAUCGAGGAGGCGUUACUCGCAGAAGAAGCACCGGCUAACUCCGUGCCAGCAGCCGCGGUAAUAC